rnacentral:lncRNA from 1 species
ACAAAAAUAAAGUGUUAUUUGACUGGAGUGAGGUCUCAUGUCUGCUUAUGCGGUGGCUCGCUGCUCAGAACAGGGAGGAAGAGGGUAAUCUGGAAGAGUUUCCUGACCUACUCUGCUGCUGUGAUUAAACAACCACCAGGAAAUUUUGAUGACACUGUUCUCCUGAGCUCCUCCCUUUCCUCGGGGAAGAAAAGCAUUGAAACUACAAAAAUAAAGUGUUAUUUGGCUGGAGUGAGGUCUCAUGUCUGCUUAUGCGGUGGCUCGCUGCUCAGAACAGGGAACCAUUGGAGAUACUCAUUACUCUUUGAAGGCUUACAGUGGAAUGAAUUCAAAUACGACUUAUUUGAGGAAUUGAAGUUGACUUUAUGGAGCUGAUAAGAAUCUUCUUGGAGAAAAAAAGACUGGUAUUCUGAAGAUGAUUCUACAAAGCCUGCUGUUUCUACAAAGGCUGCUGAUGAUUUCUACAAAGCCUGCUGUAGUGUUGCUGUGGCCUCUGCUUAAAAAAGUAGAAAACACAUUGAUGCAGCAUGUUCACCCCAACCUCCCUGCCUAAAGGCUCAGGGACCAUCUUGGAAGAGGAAGGCGCGUGAGAUUGUAAGAGCCGAAUUAGGGGGAUGGAGUGUGGAGAAUAAGGACACUUCAUCUUGGAUGCUCACCUGCCAAAUUGACUUCUGAUGAAAGCCAGCUCCAGAAAUGUGCCUACAGUUACUACUUUCACCUAAACCCUGCCCUUAGUCAAAUCCUUCUCUUCUUCUAAGCAAUCAACUUCAAUUCCUUGUAUAACCCACAGUAUAAAAGGGCUUUUAUACCAUUCUAUCCUAUUGCAUGUAAGCCUUGGGUCUGGGAGGUAACAGUGUGGGAUUCCACCAUCUCAUCUCCCUGCCACCCAAACAUGCCUGCUCUUCUUUAAGCAAUAUUAAAUGUUUGUACUUCAGAAA